AUGGCAGCAGGCAACGGCAACACCAAAAUGAUCAAAAUCGUCUAUUUUAGAUAAAUUUUCGCUAUCGUCUUCGAAAAACAACCCAAUAUCAACGUUUCUUCAGGUAGAAACUGCAAUUAUAAAUAUUGUAAUUCAAGUAAGUGUCAUUGCAAGCAAUAGUUUUUGCACAAACUGCUCAACUGCAAAACUGCACAGACUGCUCACCAUAAACUGAAAAAUGGCCAGAUCCAGGUCAAGUUCCAGAAGUUCAAGCAAUAAUUCAGCACGUGAUUCGGAUGAUAGCAGAUCUUCUGGCUCCAAGACCAGAUCUCGGUCGCCUAUUACAUCUAGUGAUGAACGACGCCGUGCUACCCGUUACACUGAUAGUGACAGAAAAUAUAGAAAAAAGUCUCGAUCGCCCACAGUCUCAAAAAAGAGUUUGCAGAGACAUGGUAGAAUGGACAAUAUGCAAAGGUCGUCGUCAGGGUCACAGUCACAAGUAAGGCCUAAAUCACCAGAUCGUUAUGAUCGCAGACACGAAGAAUCAGGAUCGAAUCGCUAUAGCAAAGAAGGUAUGGGAAACCAAGGGCGAUAUUACAAAAGGCAAGAAGGCGAUGGUGGUGUCGUCAAUCAGCGCUAUCCUUAUCGGCCCAGCCAUGGUGUUCAAGGUGACCACGAGGCUAGAUACAAUCCCGGCAGUAGGGAGCUGGACAGUCGUUCCAGCAACAGCUAUCACCAUUCUUCUGGAAAGCGACCGGAUGUUGAUCAACGAGACGAAUUCAUGAUGUUAAGGCGACAAGAGCGUGAGAAAAUUGGGUUGAUGGGUGUACCAGAAGUAUGGUCAGUGACUCCAGAAAGGCAACCAACUGACUCUGAUGAUGAAAUUGAAGACGACAUGAAGGCGACCAUCAAGCGUGAGAAAAAUGGUCACUUCCAUGGUGGCAGUUCUGAAGAUAUUAAAAAAAGUAAAACAAGGAAGCAUAAGAAAAAGAGCCAGAAGAAGCAGAAAAAAAAGAAAAAGUCCAAAAACAAUAAAAGCAAAGUUGAAAGCACGAUUGCAAGUGAGGAGAGGAGCAGUGACGACAGAUCUGACAGUGAGAGUGCUGAAGAGGACAUGUGGGUAGAGAAGACUAAGAAAGAAGGUACAAUUGAUGAAGUGGUCAUAGGGCCCCAGCCAAUUAGUACUUCAGUAUCAAGCAAGGGAGGAGCAGCAAAGUAUGUGUAUUCAUCCACUUUUAUGUUAGUUAUGGUCACGCACUGCUGCCAGGAGAAGGAGAAGCUAUGGCUGCUUACGUUGCAGAAGGCAAGAGAAUUCCUCGCAGAGGUGAAAUCGGACUGACAAGCAAUGAAAUCGAGGAUUAUGAAGCAGUUGGCUAUGUGAUGAGUGGAAGCAGACAUCGCCGCAUGGAAGCUGUGCGACUACGUAAGGAAAACCAGGUGUACAGCGCAGAUGAGAAGAGAGCACUGGCUCUAUUCAAUCAUGAGGCACGCUCAAAGAAGGAAGCUGUUAUCCUGGGCCAGUUCAGAGAAAUGAUCAGCAGUAAGGCACACAGCAAGGGCUAAAAGCUUCUGGAAUAAUGACGUAGGAAGACCAAAAGACUCGUUAUAUUUCCAGUAUACGAGAAUUAGAAUUUGUGUUUGUCUGGAAUAUUUCCAUGCAUACAGCUAAAGAUUAUAAAAAAAUCUUUUGUGAAAAAGACUGAAACACUUUCAGAUGGGAAGAGCUGAAAGCCUGCAGGCUAAUUACACAGGUUGCCAAAAUAAUUGAGAACUAGAAGGCACUGGAAUAAUCCAGCGGUAUGACAUGGCAGCAUCGCAUGUGUAAGCAUGAUUGCAUGACAUGCAAGUGUUUUUACUGGGCUAUCAUAAAGGCCAAAACACAUUGUAGUGGCAACGACCUACCAUAGUCGGAGUGAUUGGUACUAGUUGCACUGCAAGCAUUAAUGACUGGUGUUAGGUCAAAGAGCAUCUCCCUUCACGCUGCACAAUAGCAGAUAUUUAAAGUUUAUAAAAGUCAUGACUGUCGUAGAGUGUUGUGUGGCCUUAUUCAGUGCCAGAUGUUGUAGAAUAUGGUAAUCAAGAGCCAUAAAUUAUUACUAGUAACAUGAAAUGGUAACUGCAUAAAAAAUAUGCGGAAAUUUGAUAUAAAUAUUAUUGCUGAUAAGAACAUUUGCAUAUUCAGCGCAAAAAUUUAUAUAGUAAUGUACAUAAAAAUAUUGUUUUGUUGAGAUCUAGUAAACAGCACAGUAACUAUAUUAUCAGGAGUAAGAUAAUAUAGGAGGAGUAUGACGCUCCAAAACACGUGAAAUUCAACAUUUGCUUGUCAUUACAAGACCAUUCUUCACAGGCUAGCCACUGUUUGAACGUGACGGCAAACGUAAACCAUCACCAUAGUCAAACGCUAUAAACCAUGUGUGACGUCCAAAGCUAUAUCUCCAUAACAAGAAGAGGUAUGGAAACAAAGUAAAGUUUGAGUGUG